GCCCCGCGCAAGCAGCUGGCCAC
rnacentral:piRNA from 1 species